CUUUCACUGGGAUUUUGAGGAUUCACAUUGUAACUCUCAUGUUGGUGGUGCGAGUUAUUGACUUUGUAUAGCAGCCACAUGCAAAUUCCUACAAGCAAAACAGACUGAAGAACCCUUUUCUUAUCCAACACUUUUGAUCUGUAAUUUCGCCCACUUGAAUGGUGGGAUAUAAGAUUUUGUUCCAUUGAUCCCUGAAGAUUACUUGUUGAUGAUGACAAUGAUGCAAGAAUGGUAGGAGUUGGAAAAGAACAACAGAUGUGUAUGAAACAACCUCUUGAUUG
rnacentral:misc_RNA from 1 species